GACGAACGCUGGCGGCGUGCCUAAUACAUGCAAGUAGGACGCAGUUGCGAACGGGUGAGUAACGCGUAGGUAACUACCUAUUAGAGGGGGAUAACUAUUGGAAACGAUAGCUAAUACCGCAUACUAGUAGAUGGACCUGCUUUGUAUUAGCUAGUAGGUAGGGUAAUGGCCUACCUAGGCAACGAUACAUAGCCGACCUGGGGGGGGGAUCGGCAACACUGGGACUGGGGACCGGCCCAGACUCCUACGGGAGGGAGCAGUAGGGAAUCUUCGGCAAUGGGGGGAAACCUGACCGAGCAACGCCGGGGGAGUGGAGAAGGUUUUCGGAUCGUAAAGCUCUGUUGUUAAGGAAGCGGUACUUAACCAGAAAGGGACGGCUAACUACGUGCCAGCAGCCGCGGUAAUUC
rnacentral:rRNA from 1 species